CGCUGGAACUAAGCAUAUCAAUAAGCGGAGGAAAAGAAACUAACAGGAUUCCCCUAGUAACUGCGAGUGAAGCGGGAAAAGCUCAAAUUUAAAAUCUGGUGGUCUUUGGCCAUCCGAGUUGUAAUUUAGAGAAGCGUCUUCCGCGCUGGACCGUGCACAAGUCUCCUGGAAUGGAGCGUCGUAGAGGGUGAGAAUCCCGUCUUUGGCACGGACGCACCAGGGCUUCUGUGAUGCGCUCUCGAAGAGUCGAGUUGUUUGGGAAUGCAGCUCAAAAUGGGUGGUGAACUCCAUCUAAAGCUAAAUAUUGGCGAGAGACCGAUAGCGAACAAGUACCGUGAGGGAAAGAUGAAAAGCACUUUGGAAAGAGAGUGAAACAGUACGUGAAAUUGUUGAAAGGGAAACGCUUGAAGUCAGUCGCGUCGCCCGAGACUCAGCCUCGCCUCGGCUUGGUGUACUUUUCGGACGACGGGUCAGCAUCAAUUUUGCCCCUUGGAUAAUGGCGGGGGAAAUGUGACACCUUUACGGGUGUGUUAUAGUCUCUCGUCGCAUGCAAGGGUCGGGAUUGAGGAACUCAGCACGCGCCUUUGGGCGUCGGGGUUCGCCCACGAUACGUGCUUAGGAUGUUGGCGUAAUGGCUUUAAACGACCCGUCUUGAAACACGGACCAAGGAGUCUAACAUGCCCGCGAGUGUUCGGGUGGAAAACCCGUGCGCGCAAUGAAAGUGAAAGUUGGGACCUCUGUCGUGGAGGGCACCAACGCCCGGACCAGACCUUCUGUGACGGAUCCGCGGUAGAGCGUGUAUGUUAGGACCCGAAAGAUGGUGAACUAUGCCUGAAUAGGGUGAAGCCAGAGGAAACUCUGGUGGAGGCUCGUAGCGAUUCUGACGUGCAAAUCGAUCGUCAAAUUUGGGUAUAGGGGCGAAAGACUAAUCGAAMCAUCUAGUACUGGUUCCUGCCGAAGUUCCCUCAGGAAGGA
rnacentral:rRNA from 1 species